GAUGAACGCUGGCGGCGUGCCUAAUACAUGCAAGUCGAGCGAACAGACGAGGAGCUUGCUCCUCUGACGUUAGCGGUGGACGGGUGAGUAACACGUGGAUAACCUACCUAUAAGACUGGGAUAACUUCGGGAAACCGGAGCUAAUACCGGAUAACAUGUUGAACCGCAUGGUUCAACAGUGAAAGACGGUCUUACUGUCACUUAUAGAUGGAUCCGCGCCGCAUUAGCUAGUUGGUAAGGUAACGGCUUACCAAGGCAACGAUGCGUAGCCGAGCUGGGAGGGUGAUCGGCCACACUGGAACUGAGACACGGUCCAGACUCCUACGGGAGGCAGCAGUAGGGAAUCUUCCGCAAUGGGCGAAAGCCUGACGGAGCAACGCCGCGUGAGUGAAGAAGGUCUUCGGAUCGUAAAACUCUGUUAUUAGGGAAGAACAAAUGUGUAAGUAACUAUGCACGUCCUGACGGUACCUAAUCAGAAAGCCACGGCUAACUACGUGCCAGCCGCCGCAGUAAAAC
rnacentral:rRNA from 1 species